GAUGAACGCUGGCGGCGUGCCUAAUACAUGCAAGUCGAGCGGUAAGGCACCUUCGGGUGUACACGAGCGGCGGACGGCUGAGUAACACGUAGGAACAUACCCCAAACUGAGGGAUAAGCACCAGAAAUGGUGUCUAAUACCGCAUGUGGCCUUCGGGCUAAAGCUCCGGCGGUUUGGGAAUGGCCUGCGUAAGAUUAGCUUGUUGGUGAGGUAAUAGCUCACCAAGGCGACGAUCUUUAGCUGGUCUGAGAGGAUGAUCAGCCAGACUGGGACUGAGAACGGCCCAGACUCCUACGGGAGGCAGCAGUAGGGAAUUUUCCACAAUGGGGGCAACCCUGAUGGAGCAACGCCGCGUGCAGGAUGAAUGCCUUCGGGUUGUAAACUGCUUUUCUCUGUGACGAAUAUGACGGUAGCAGAGGAAUAAGGACCUGCUAACUACGUGCCAGCAGCCGCAGUAAAAC
rnacentral:rRNA from 1 species